rnacentral:rRNA from 1 species
AGUGAACGCUGGCGGUAGGCCUAACACAUGCAAGUCGAACGGCAGCACAGUAAGAGCUUGCUCUUACGGGUGGCGAGUGGCGGACGUGUGAGGAAUACAUCGUACUCUACUUUUUCGUGGGGGAUAACGUAGGGAAACUUACGCUAAUACCGCAUACGACCUACGGUUGAAAGCAGGGGAUCUUCGGACCUUGCGCGAUUGCAUGAGCCGAUGUCGGAUUAGCUGGUUGGCGGGGUAAAGGCCCACCAAGGCGACGAUCCGUAGCUGGUCUGAGAGGAUGAUCAGCAACACUGGAACUGAGACACGGUCCAGACUCCUACGGGAGGCAGCAGUGGGGAAUAUUGGACAAUGGGCGAAAGCCUGAUCAAGCCAUACCGCGUGGGUGAAGAAGGCCUUCGGGUUGUAAAGCCCUUUUGUUGGGAAAGAAAAGCAGCAGGUUAAUACCCCGCUGUUCUGACGGUACCCAAAGAAUAAGCACCGGCUAACUUCGUG